GGACUCGUAGCUCAGUUGGCUAGAGCGUUGCAUUGACAUUGCAAAGGUCACAGGUUCAAGUCCUGUCGGGUCCACCC
rnacentral:tRNA from 7 species